GAUGAACGCUGGCGGCGUGCCUAAUACAUGCAAGUCGAGCGAACAGACGAGGAGCUUGCUCCUCUGACGUUAGCGGCGGACGGGUGAGUAACACGUGGAUAACCUACCUAUAAGACUGGGAUAACUUCGGGAAACCGGAGCUAAUACCGGAGAAUAUAUUGAACCGCAUGGUUCAAUAGUGAAAGACGGUUUUGCUGUCACUUAUAGAUGGAUCCGCGCCGCAUUAGCUAGUUGGUAAGGUAACGGCUUACCAAGGCAACGAUGCGUAGCCGACGUGAGUGGGUGAUCGGCGACCCUGGAACGGAGACGCGGUCCAGACGCCUACGGGAGGCAGCAGUAGGGAAUCUUCCGCAAUGGGCGAAAGCCUGACGGAGCAACGCCGCGUGAGUGAUGAAGGUCUUCGGAUCGUAAAACUCUGUUAUUAGGGAAGAACAAAUGUGUAAGUAACUAUGCACGUCUUGACGGUACCUAGUCAGAAAGCCACGGCUAACUACGUG
rnacentral:rRNA from 1 species